rnacentral:tRNA from 2 species
AGGGGUGUAGCCAAGUUGGUUAAGGCAUCGGACUUUGAUUCCGACAUCGGGGGUUCAAAUCCCUCCACCCCCGCCA